rnacentral:rRNA from 1 species
CCGCGGUAAAACCAGCUCCCCGAGGGGUUCCCACGCAUACUGGGCCUAAAGCGUCCGUAGCCGGCCCUGUAAGUCUGCAGUUAAAUCCGCCUGUAGACAGGCGGGUUGCUGCAGAUACUGCAGGGCUAGGGAGCGGGAGGAGCCGGGGGUAUUCCCGGGGGAGCGGUAAAAUGCGUAGAUCCCGGGAGGACCACCAGUGGCGAAGGCGCCCGGCUUGAACGCGUCCGACGGUGAGGGACGAAAGCUGGGGGAGCAAACCGGAUUAGAUACCCGGGUAGUCCCAGCCGUAAACGAUGCCGGCUAGGUGCUGGCCAAGGUUUCGGCCUUGGCCAGUGUCGAAGCGAAGGCAUUAAGCCGGCCGCCUGAGGAGUACGGCCGCAAGGCUGAAACUUGAAGGAAUUGACGGGGGGGCACCACAAGGGGUGAAUGCCUGCGGCUUAAUUGGACUCAACGCCGGGAAUCUUACCGGGGGCGACAGCAGGAUGAAGGUCAGGCUGAAGACCUUACCAGACGCGCUGAGGGGUGGUGCAUGGCCGUCGCCAGCUCGUGCCGUGAGGUGUCCUGUUAAGUCAGGCGACGAGCGAGACCCCCGCCCCUAGUUGCCAGCGGCCUCCUUCGGGAGGGACCGGGCAAACUAGGGGGACCGCCUCCGAAGAGGAGGAGGAAGGUGGGGGCUACGGCAGGUCAGUAUGCCCCUAAUCCCCCGGGCCACACGCGGGCU